GGGAACUGGGACCCGUAUCACCCUUAUUAUGACCUAUAUAUUUCUUCAAGGAUCUUCAAGAAGUGAUUUGAAACAUUCCCCCUACCUGAAAUAGACUUUGGAACCUCAUAUACAUUCUUAAGAAAAAUAAGUAUACCCUUAAGAAAAAUAAGUAUAUUCUUUCCAAGAGAAACCCAAACCCUAAUCACCCUUAUUAUGAUUUAUAUAUUUCUUUGGGGACUCUUAAGAAGUGAUUUAAGGCGUUCCCCCAGUUCAAAAUGGACUUUGGAACCCCACAUACAUUCUUUAGAAAAAUAAGUACAUUUUUUACAAAAAUACAUACAUUUUUUCUAAGGGGAACCAGGACUUCAAGCACGCUUAUUAUAAUUUAUAUAUUCCUUUGGAGACCUUUACAAAGUGAUUUGAAGCAUUCCCCCACCUUGAAAUGGGAUCCUUAAGAAAAAUAAGUAUAUUCUUCAUAAUAAUAAGUACAUUUUUUUUCCAAAGGGAACCAAGAAUUCUAUCACCCUUAUUAUGAUCUAUAUAUUCUUUUAAGGACCCUUGGGAAGUGAUUUGAGGCUUUCUUUCACCCCGAAAUGAACUUUAGAACCCUACGUACAUCCUUAAAAAAAAUAAGUACAAUCUUUAAAAAUAAAAAUAAAUACAUUAUUUUCAAGGAGAACCAAAUCUUUAUUAUGACUUAUAAAUUCCUUUGAGGACCCUUGAGAAGUGAUUCGAGGCAUCCUCUCACCCUGAAAUGGACUUUGGAACCUCACAUACAUCUUUAAGAAAAAUAAGAAAAAUUAAUAUAAUUACAUCUUUAAGAAAAAUAAGUAUAUUAUUAAGAAAUUGACUUUGGAACCUUAUAUACAUUCUUAAAAAAUAUAAGUACAGCCUUAAGAAAAAUAAGUACAUUCAUUAUAAGGGAAUGAGACCCUAAUCACCCUUAUUAUGACUUAUAUAUUCCUUUGAAAAUCUCGGGAAGUAAUUUAAGGUGUUCCCCCACUCCGAAAAGGACUUUGGAAUCCUAGGUACAUCCUUAAGAAAUUUAGUGAAUAAAUUAUAUAAUUUUCCAUAAAAAUAUAUAUUAAAAAAUAAAGAAAUAUGGAAAAAAAAAUAAUAGGACUUUCUAGUAAAAAAAAUUAUUUGAUUUUAAUAAAAAAAAUUAUUAAUCAUAAAAAGAACACAUGGAACAUAAUAGGAAUUUUUAAUAAAUAAAUAAUUUAAAUUUUUUAUUAAAAAAUAAAUAAUAUAUAUUCUAGAAAUAAAGAAAGAGAUGAUAUAAAAAAAUGUAAACAAAAGAAUUUGUAAAUAAAUAAAUUAUUUAAAAAAAUCUAAAUAAAGUAUCAUAUAUUAAAUAAUAAAGAAAAAUAUGUACAACAAGGUUUAAUAAAUAAUAAAUUAUUUAGGAUUGGGCUUAUGGCAAGCUCAAGCCCAGCCCAUGCAUGGUCCCUAUAAGUAGAUAUUUAAUCAUGCAACCUACUACAGUGAUUUAAUACAUACUAAAAAUAGAAUCCAUCAUCACGUUUCCUUGUUUUGUACUCAAGUUUAAUAUCAACUCUUAACUACAUAAAAUAUUAAAUUAUACUAAAAUAAUAUAAAUUAUAUAUUGUAAUGUAAAUAUGUAAUUUAUAUAAGAAUAAGAUCUUAAUAAAAUAAAAUGAGAGAAUCUUUUUCCGAACAAUUUUAUCCAAGCUUCAUUCAGGAUUUGAUUUUAGAAAAAAGGCAAAUAGAGUGAAUAAAUGAAGGAAUUCUUGAGUGGAUUGUAGGAAUUGGGUUCGAUAAUAAUAAUAUCUCCCAAACAUGUCAAAACUUGAUAUCAUCCCACCAGGAGAUGUAAGGAUUGAUACAUAAAAUAUUUUUUUUAUAAUGAAAUAAAUAUGUCUAAAUACUUUAUUUUAUGGAUAAAUCAUUUAAAUCCAAUUGAUAAAGAAAACAUCAUAAAGAUCGGGUUUUAAGCUGAUACAAUAAUAAGUGUUUGGAGUUUUAUCAACAACUUGCUUGUGUGUGUGGGAAUUUGGUAUUUUCUGAAUCAUUAUGUAAGGAAUUAUCUUUGGUAGUUGAGAUUUGAAGGUUCCAUACAUGUUACAUCUUCAUGGUUGGAAACAUGAAGCUGGAAACCCCUCAUUUCUAACAACUGACCAUAUGUACAUGCAAAUUCACAUAUUCAUGAUAUUUUGCAGUUGGGCUAUUGCAAAAAUAGAUCAGGUAUAUUACUGAGGAUAUAUACGUCUAGCCAUGUUUUUUGCUUUUGUCCAAUUUAGAUGAUGUGCUUUGGACCAAUAUGUUCAGUCGUUGACCAUAUGACUAGGAGCUAGCCGUGUAAGCUUUUUAUGCUUUUUCAGAAUCAUGUGAGCACAAAAUUCUUAAUAGUACAAACCCAUAAGUAUGAAAAGGGAAAAAAAUAAAAGUAUGAAUGUAUAUAUUGAUGUAAGAAUUUACAUGAUAACUGUGUUGAAUAAUCAAGAAAGCAAAAAUGAACACAAACAAAACAAACAAAGAUGGACUUUUCCUUUUCUAACUCCAAGCAACCCCUCUGAUGUAUUCUUCAACCCCCACAAAAAGCCCUUACAAUUUGAGGGUGGACUAGCUCUACUGAAACCCUGAGUUUCCUUCAUUUGAGGAGACCAAGUUGAAGAAGUACCACCAUAAAAAUGCUAUGAUAACUCUACCUCUAAACUCUUGGAACUAAGCAUGCCAUGCUCCUUAAAGAACCCGGUCAUCGAAUUCUCCAACAAGGAAAUGUCUACAACAAAUAAAAUCUCAAGGAAUCAACAAAUAUGGGUUAUGCAAAACUGUCCUGGUUUGCAUUAGUGACCCUUUCCACGAUGACUUGGACCGGAAUAGGCUCGGUUUGUGAAGAACUCUUUGAUGGGUGAAGGAAAAGGCUGGUCCUUGAGAGGUCUCAAGCCAUCAACAUGCAUGGCAUAGGAGAGGAAGAGGAAGAAGAUGAUGAUGGAAAUGGUAUUGAAAGCAAAAAUGAGAGAAUGGCUCUUCAUUGUGGUGGCCUUUGUGUGUGGUUAGGCUAUUGGGUUUUGGGAGUUUUGAGAUAUGGUAUGUAGGGAGAAUGGAAAUAGGGACUUGUAUAUAAAGGAAAUGAAGAAGGGCGUUUGUGUGUUUUUCUUGACUUUGGUAAUUGUUGGUGUAUUUUGUAUAUUGAAAUAUUUGAAUUUGCAGCUCAAACUUUGAAAAUAGGAAUGUAGGUGGAUCAAAACAUAUGGCCAAGUCAAUGUCGGGCAAAAUAUAACUACGUUGUUAGUCUUUUGGUAGGCUACAAAUUUAGCUUUUUUAAUAUGUUUGGUUGUUAUUUAUCUUGAACUUGGAACUAAGUUCCGUACUGUCACAACCCAACGAUAAACGUAAAGUUGUCCCCUUUCCCCGACUCAUUCCACUCUCUCCACCUUCCUUUCCCAUUGAGACCCUUAAUGGGUCAAACACACAUCUCACACGUAGAAUGAAAACUAGCACAU
rnacentral:lncRNA from 1 species